UACCCCGAAAGAGAAGGAUCGCCACAGGGU
rnacentral:piRNA from 1 species